UUUGAGCUGGAACCUGCCGCAAGCGUUUGACGGUACCAAAUUACAUAUAUAUAUACAUAUAUCUGUCAAAAUGAUGUAAGACCUGAAAUCUCUCUGUAAGUUGAUCCUCUUGACCCCAUGAUUAGGAGCUUCACAAUGUGGUACCACACCUGGAAAUCUCCAGAACAAGAUCUCAAGGAAACACAGGAAAUUCCUGGAGUGGCAAAACAUCCUAUUUGAAGACAUUCAAUUAUUCCUCUGUGCAUCAGGAGCAUCGCCAUGACUUAACUAUUCAUAUGCUUGAAAGAGUUUGUUUAGAAAGAGCCUUUACAGGAAAAUAAAAAGAGCCAGGUAUAUUAUUGAUGAUGGGCUAGACAAUGCCAUCAUGGUGAGUUAACCUCUACAUCUUAUUCCCUGGGCAAAAGUUUAGUUCUUAUUCCUGCAAAUUUUGAUGCAAGAUGGUUGGCUCUCCAGGCAGAUACUGACGCCAUGAAUUAGACAUCUCAACAUGUUCCUCCAAAACAAACCACAGCAGGGGAAGAUGGAAGUGGAGGGUCACACACCUGGUCUUAUAUACUUGGAUGCAAGGUGAUACGUGUCAUUUUUACUUACAGCUUGUAGGCCAGAACAAAGCCUAACAGACCUGCAAGGGGCCUGGAAAAAAUUCUGGCGCACAUGGUGGACUGGUGAACAGUAAAUGUUUCUGCCACAUAAGGCUUUGGUAGACUUCAAAUUUGUUCCUUACAGGCCUAAUUCAUACCACUAACUGAAUAUUCCUUGAGACUUUCUGUAAUCUUAUGGUAAUGUUUUUCAAGUACAGUGUCUGACACAAAGUAUUCAAUAAAUAUACUCAGCAGAA